CGGAGCAGACGCAGCUCAAAGCCCGCAGAGGACGCCCAGAGUGGCGAGCGGGCGGACAGACGGACCUACCGACUCGCGCCGCGUCCACCUGUCUGCCGCGCACGGCCCAGGGCUCAG
rnacentral:other from 1 species